UUCUCAAACUACUUGAAUCUUCUAAAUAUCUAAUUGUAACUACUUAAUUAACGGGGUUAUCUAACAAUACACCCCCAAAGUUUUCACCUUGUCUUAAAAGGUGAAGGGUUGAAAAGAAAAAAAGUGAAAACCUACUACUGCAUUAAUCUUUUGCAGUUCCGGCUGCAAAUAGACGCACUGAAGACAAAAGCUCGGAUGAUUCUUCCAAUUUCAACUCCAAACUUUAUCUGAAACACCCCUGCAUAUCUUCCCAUUAGCUGCAAUUAAUUUUGCAAAUUUCAGUGCAUUUCAAUGUCAUUUCAGUAGGUGGAGAAUGUUCAGACAGAAUAAAAAUUUAAUUAAUGUUCUUGUGUUGGGCUUGAAGCCACUUAAUAAUAUGAAUUGGUUUUUGUGACCUACAUCUUGCACCACAAGCCGCGUCUGGCAGUUAUGAUGGUGGAUGAUGGGUUAGUUAGCAUGUGAGCCAGAGCUCUGUCAGUGUCCACAAUCCAUCCCAUGCUGCAAAAGAAC
rnacentral:lncRNA from 1 species